GAUGAACGCUGGCGGCGUGCCUAAUACAUGCAAGUCGAGCGAACGGACGAGAAGCUUGCUUCUCUGAUGUUAGCGGCGGACGGGUGAGUAACACGUGGAUAACCUACCUAUAAGACUGGGAUAACUUCGGGAAACCGGAGCUAAUACCGGAUAAUAUUUUGAACCGCAUGGUUCAAAAGUGAAAGUCGGUCUUGCUGUCACUUAUAGAUUGAUCCGCGCUGCAUUAGCUAGUUGGUAAGGAAACGGCUUACCAAGGCAACGAUGCAUAGCCGACCUGAGCGGGUGAUCGGCCACACGGGAACUGAGACACGGUCCAGACUCCUACGGGAGGCAGCAGUAGGGAAUCUUCCGCAAUGGGCGAAAGCCUGACUGAGCAACGCCGCGUGAGUGAUGAAGGUCUUCGGAUCGUAAAACUCUGUUAUUAGGGAAGAACAUAUGUGUAAGUAACUGUGCACAUCUUGACGGUACCUAAUCAGAAAGCCACGGCUAACUACGU
rnacentral:rRNA from 1 species